UACAGAGGGUGCAAGCGUUGUUCGGAAUUACUGGGCGUAAAGCGCGUGUAGGCGGCGGCGUUAGUCGGAUGUGAAAUCCCUCAGCUCAACUGAGGAAGUGCAUUCGAUACUGCGUCGCUUGAAUGUCGGAGGGGAUGGCGGAAUUCCCGGUGUAGCGGUGAAAUGCGUAGAUAUCGGAAGGAACACCAGUGGCGAAAGCGGCUUCCUGGUCCAGCACCGACGUCAGGCACGAAAGCGUGGGGAGCAAACAGG
rnacentral:rRNA from 1 species